CCUACGGGAGGCAGCAGUGAGGAAUAUUGGUCAAUGGACGAGAGUCUGAACCAGCCAAGUAGCGUGAAGGAUGACUGCCCUAUGGUUGGUAAACUUCUUUUAUCUGGGAAUAAAAUGUUCCACGUGUGGGAUUUUGUAUGUACCAUAUGAAUAAGAAUCGGCUAACUCCGUGCCAGCAGCCGCGGUAAUACGGAGGAUCCGAGCGUUAUCCGGAUUGAGUGGGUUUAAAGGGAGCGUAGGUGGAUUGUUAAGUCAGUUGUGAAAGUUUGCGGCUCAACCGUAAAAUUGCAGUUGAAACUGGCAGUCUUGAGUACAGUAGAGGUGGGCGGAAUUCGUGGUGUAGCGGUGAAAUGCUUAGAUAUCUCGAAGAACUCCGAUUGCGAAGGCAGUUCACUGGACUGCAACUGACACUGAGGUUCGAAAGUGUGGGUAGCAAACAGGAUUAGAUACCCCAGUAGUC
rnacentral:rRNA from 1 species